rnacentral:tRNA from 1 species
GCCUCCUUAGCUCAGCUGGCCAGAGCACCGCUCUUGUAAGGCGGUGCUCAACGCCCGGAUCGGGCCGGGGGGCU